rnacentral:siRNA from 1 species
AGACAUUCUAAAAUGACUUGAUGC